AUUGUCCCUGUUUCCAGUUUCCAGAGUUAGAACUUCGCCUGCCCUGCAAGUCUGACCUGAGUCUGAGCUGGGCCUGCCUUCAGCUUUCUCCGUAUUCUCUGGAUCCCUUAUGUGACCCUCUCUUGGGGCAUGGAUCAGGCAGCCCGAUGGUUUUAUGUGCAAUACAUUUCUCCCUUCGCAUCUUAGGCACUGAUGGUCCAUGACAAAUCGUGAUGAGGGUUCUCCACUGAGAAAAGAUGAUAAAGACUCUCAGGAGCAAUAC
rnacentral:lncRNA from 1 species